GGGCGCUUAGCUCAGCGGCAGAGCGUCUGCUUUACACGCAGAGGGUCGCAGGUUCAAAUCCUGCAGCGCCCA
rnacentral:tRNA from 2 species